AGUGAACGCUGGCGGUAGGCCUAACACAUGCAAGUCGAACGGCAGCACAGUAAGUUCUUGCUCUUACGGGUGGCGAGUGGCGGACGGGUGAGGAAUACAUCGGAAUCUACUUUUUCGUGGGGGAUAACGUAGGGAAACUUACGCUAAUACCGCAUACGACCUACGGUCGUAAGCAGUGGAUCUUCUGACCUUGCGCGAUUGAAUGAGCCGAGGUCGGAUUAGCUAGUUGGCGGGGUAAAGGCCCACCAAGGCGACGAUCCGUAGCUGGUCUGAGAGGAUGAUCAGCGACACGGGAAGUGAGACACGGACCAGACUCCUACGGGAGGCAGCAGUGGGGAAUAGUGGACAAUGGGCGAAAGCCUGAUCCAGCAAUACCGCGUGGGAGAAGAAGGCCUUGGGGUUGUAAAGCCGUUUUGUGGGGAAAGAAAAGCAGCAGGUUAAGACGCAGCGGUACUGACGGUAACCAAAGAAUAAGCACCGGCUAACUACGUG
rnacentral:rRNA from 1 species